CAGAGUGAUCUAUGAUUCCAAAGCCAUGAGGUGCUCGCUUUGCAAGAGGCAGCAGAGGCAUACCUAGUGGGUCUCUUUGAGGACACGAACCUAUGUGCUAUUCAUGCCAACCGUGUCACCAUCAUGUCUAAGGAUGUUCAACUUGCUAGGAGGAUCCGUGGCGAGAGGCCUUGA
rnacentral:rRNA from 1 species